AGCGAACGCUGGCGGCAGGCCUAAAACAUGCAAGUCGAACGCCUGUAGGCAAUACAGGAGUGGCAGACGGGUGAGUAACACGUGGGAACGUACCCUUUGGUUCGGAACAACGACACGGGGAAACUUGUGCUAAUACCGGAUAAGCCCUUACGGGGAAAGGAGUUUAUCGCCAGAGGAUCGGCCCGCGUCUGAUUAGCUUGUUGGUGAGGUAACGGCUCACCAAGGCUACGAUCAGUAGCNGGUCUGAGAGGAUGAUCAGCCACACUGGGACUGAGACACGGCCCAGACUCCUACGGGAGGCAGCAGUUAGGAAUCUUGGACAAUGGGCGCAAGCCUGAUCCAGCCAUGCCGCGUGAGUGAUGAA
rnacentral:rRNA from 1 species